GCGUUAACGAACGAGACCUCAGCCUGCUAACUAGCUACGCGGAGGUUCCCCUUCGCGGCCAGCUUCUUAGAGGGACUAUGGCCUCCUAGGCCAUGGAAGUUUGAGGCA
rnacentral:rRNA from 1 species